rnacentral:rRNA from 1 species
GGGGGGGGGGGGGGGGGGGGGGGGGGGGGGGGGGGGGGGGGGGGGGGCCCGGCGGGGGGGGGGGGCUCGAGGGGCGAACGGGGGAGGAACACGUGAGGAACCUGCCCUUGACGUUGGGAUGACUUCAGGGAAGUGGGGCUAAUACCGGAGAGGAGCUCCUGCUGCAUGGUGUGGGUUGGAAAUGUUCGGCGGUUGGGGAUGGACCCGCGGCUUGUCAGCUUGUUGGUGGGGUAGUGGCUUACCAAGGCUUUGACGGGUAGCCGGCCUGAGAGGGUGACCGGCCACAUUGGGACUGAGAUACGGCCCAGACUCCUACGGGAGGCAGCAGUGGGGAAUAUUGCACAAUGGGCGGAAGCCUGAUGCAGCAACGCCGCGUGCGGGAUGACGGCCUUCGGGUUGUAAACCGCUUUCGCCUGUGACGAAGCGUGAGUGACGGUAAUGGGUAAAGAAGCACCGGCUAACUACGUG